GCAGUGGCACAGUUGGCAGUGCACCUGCUUUCUACGCGGGAGGAUAAGGUUCGAGUCACGCGAUCAACU